UGAGUUGUUACGGAGGUCCAGGUAGACGAGGUCACUGUAGAGGACCAGGAAGUCAGAAGGAAUCUUGGGGAUCCAAUUGUUGGAGAGCAGGAGGCGGCGGACAUCCAGCGGGAGGGGAUCUGGCAGCAGGAAUCGUGAUUCAUCGGACCGGGCUGCAUUUUUCCAGUUUCCAGCUGUCCAGUUUUGGCUAAUUAGGAUCCAACUCUUGACCUCAGAUUGGCCUUCACAGACAGGGCUGGAAUCUGAAAAUUCCAGGCCAAUCCUAUGUUCUGGAUUUACAGAAGACCUGGAUGUUUGACCAAAACUUUAUGAAAACUGUCUAUGCAAGAAAUAUGAAGCCCUUGAUAGAUAUUAUGAUGCCACAUCGGCAGGCUUCCCGGGCCGCGUGUGUUCUCCGGAGGAUUUCCAGCCAGGUCAGGGAACGGAAGCAGAGAUGCUAGGUGUGACCACAGCAUUUCCCCCAGAAUUUGGUCACCUCAGGGCUGGAGGAACAGCGAAUGAUGUCAGGGGCAAAAUUCAGGAGAGAAGCGUGUCCCAAGCGAGGGCUGCUGCCGCUCCUGGCGGGAAUCGCUCAGCUUACCCUUUUUCGGACAGCAGCCAUGGCGAUUUGCUUUACAAAAUUAGGGCAGUCAAACCAAAUAUAUAUUAUCAUGUUCACAGCAGAAAUAUAUAAAAAAAUGUGUCAUGUCAGAUGGGGAGGGGGGAGGUUGAUUUGGUUUGUUUCGGUUGAUGUGAGUCACCAGUCCCCCGUUCAUUCCCUGCUGUCCCUCAGGCAAACCUGAGCCGAGUCCAGCACUGCUUGUCUCAUUCUCACCACAAUGGCUAUUUCUGUUGUG